UACGAAGGGUCCAAGCGUUGUUCGGAAUCAUUGGGCGUAAAGCGCGCGCAGGCGGAUUAAUAAGUCAGGUGUGAAAUCUCAGGGCUCAACCCUGAAACUGCAUUCGAUACUGCGUGGCUAGAGUGCUGGAGAGGAGACUGGAAUUUACGGUGUAGCAGUGAAAUGCGUAGAUAUCGUAAGGAAGACCAGUGGCGAAGGCGAGUCUCUGGACAGCAACUGACGCUGAGGCACGAAGGCCAGGGGAGCAAACGGG
rnacentral:rRNA from 1 species